AUAAUGUUUCGGGUUGAAGUAACUAAUAUAUAGGAGUAAUAAUGAUAGUUGUCAUGUCAUCAAUGUCGGAUCGUUCGCGCUAACCAUUAAUCCCAAAAGCUCGAGCUGUUAGAAAUACGCAACCAAUUCACUUAAAGCGUACAGAAACAGCGCCUACGGGUCUCGAUUGUGACUCAGCCCACCUGGCCUCAUGCCACUUCGAACAUGACUCGGCUCAACCCAGCCUCACGCUAUUUCGAACAUGACUCGGCCCACAUGGCCUCCCGCCACAGGGCAGGAUGCUGGCCCAUUUAAGCCAACAAUCCCUCCUCCAGCACCUGCACACAUUUGCAGCAUGCGGGAAUCGAACCCGUGACCUCUGGCUCUGAUACCACUUGUCGGAUCGUUGGCGCUAACCAUUAAUCCCAAAAGCUCGAGCUGUUAGAAAUACGCAACCAAUUCACUUAAAGCGUACAGAAACAGCGCCCACGGGUCUCGAUUGUGACUCGGCCCCACCUGGCCUCACGCCACUUCGAACAUGACUCGGCCCAACCCAGCCUCACGCCAUUUCGAACAUGACUCGGCCCACAUGACCUCCCGCCACAGGGCAGGAUGCUGGCCCAUUCAAGCCAACAAUCAACAGUGUUAUAG
rnacentral:lncRNA from 1 species